GACGAACGCUGGCGGCGUGCUUAACACAUGCAAGUCGAACGGAAAGGCCCUGCUUGCAGGGUACUCGAGUGGCGAACGGGUGAGUAACACGUGGGUGAGCUGCCCUGCACUUCGGGAUAAGCCUGGGAAACUGGGUCUAAUACCGGAUAGGAGCCAUUUUUAGUGUGAUGGUUGGAAAGUUUUUUCGGUGUAGGAUGAGCUCGCGGCCUAUCAGCUUGUUGGUGGGGUAAUGGCCUACCAAGGCGGCGACGGGUAGCCGGCCUGAGAGGGUGGACGGCCACAUUGGGACUGAGAUACGGCCCAGACUCCUACGGGAGGCAGCAGUGGGGAAUAUUGCACAAUGGGCGCAAGCCUGAUGCAGCGACGCCGCGUGGGGGAUGACGGCCUUCGGGUUGUAAACUCCUUUCGCUAGGGACGAAGCUUUUUGUGACGGUACCUAGAUAAGAAGCACCGGCUAACUACGUG
rnacentral:rRNA from 1 species